UCCGAAAAGUCUCAGCUAAAGGUGUUCAGUUAAAAGUGGUUUGCUGCAUGCAGAGUAGAUGAUCUUGUGUAGCGUCCAGACGGGGCGCUUCAGGCCACCGACGUGCGGCCAGGGAUGGAAUUCUUACCCAGCUUACCCGAAAUCCAAAUCGACACCGGACAUGGGGUAAAGGUGAUAACUUUGGCCAUCGAAUGUAUAUGCUCAAGUAUCGCCCGGAGGGUCGUGCGUCCAAAACGGCGUCAGGCAAGCAAAAGGCCACCACGUGAAGAAGGUUAGUCUGAAGUUAAUGGCUUCGCAGCAGGAAAUCGCCAACGCCGGGAGGGCCAACGCUGUUGCACCUUGUCAUAAUCACAGACCACAAAAACCCUCGUCCCAAUCAUGGCGGUUGCGAGUGUGGAAUCCCGGUGUCCGGUGUGUGGCCUAUGUAAGGCAGGGUUAGGCAGCGCCAUCGUGUCGCAGUGCUACAGGCUUCAAACUAAUCAAAUUGUCAUUUGCUUUAGAGUUGUUCGUUUGGCAAACAUUUGUUUGGUCGUUUGUUUUUUUGUUUCUUGGAAUUAUCUGCAAGGAUGCUGUUUCCACUGUGUGGCACUUUCUCCAAUAAGAUGUUCUUCACUGAUCGAAUAUCUGAUUCAAACCCCCCGCAGGGUAACUUUGCCCGUUAAAAAUGUUGGCAAUUUUUUCGACCCCAUCAGGACCUCGUGUGUGGGUUAGAAAAUCGUUUCAGGUACCUGGCAGAUAAGAGUUUUGUCCCUAUAAUCCUUCCCCACUUUAAGCGCCCGCUUAAGGGUAAAACAUUUAAUUGGAUCUGUCAACUUUUUUAUGUGCAAUUAUUGUGUGUUGUUUAAGAGGUUCUAGUUUUUCUUUCUAUAGUAGCAGCCUCGAGAUACAUUCGUCGAACAAGUCAUCAAACAUUGGCAAUAUAAAACUGUCAAAACACUUUCUUUGUUUCCUUCGGUUUGCCUUCGUUGUGCUUCAAAUGCGUGAAAACAAUUAGAAAAAUCUUGCCCGGGAUUAAGCGAAACGGGAACCCAAAUCCAAAGCCCAACGGGAUUGAUUGUGCGAUUGUACGAACGUGGAGGGACAAGCAACAGGAUGCACCUUCGUAACGAGCGAAAGCCAAGCAAAAGUUUUACCCCGAAUUGACUUCAAAUUGCGAAAGGAUAUUCACCAACAACAAAAAAAAAAAAAAA